UGAUAUUUAAAAGACCAUAACUGAUUUAUCGAACAUCGUAUCAUUUGGAGUUUUAAGACCAACCAAGUUGUGGGCAUCAUCUCGUCGCAAACUUGACAGAUCAUCUCUAACUUCUGAGCAUUAUCUUGUAUAAAACUUGAAAGAGAAUAAUCUCGUAUAAAACUUGAAAGAGCAUCAUCUCGUCUGGAGUUUUGAGCAUCAUCUCAUCUAGAGUUUGAGAGAGCAUCAUCAAAUAUGAAAUUAUAUUCAACCAUGAUUCCAAUUGUCAACUAUCUAACAAACAUAACUCUAACAAUUUAGAUAUUUUAUUUAUAUAUGUAAUUUUAUUAGUUCAAACUCUAGAGAGAAUAGAAAGAGAAGAGAUCUUAAAGCAGUAAAAGAGAGAGCGUGUGCUUUAUUUCAUCAUCGUAGGUAUUUAUAGGCAUUACGGUCGGGGUAAAGUAGUAAAUUCGUUUGGUCAUCUAUUCCGCAUGCUCGCCAUUAAACUAAUUAAGGCUAUUAUUAGAUUAUAACUUGUCAGGUCGUUGUCCCCUAAUUACAGAGCUGGAUCUGUCCUCAUCAUCCCGCUCUGUCUAGUAGCUCUGGAUUUCCUUCCUUGGGGCAGACUUUUACUCUUUGGCUCCGCUCUGCUAAAUAGCUCCGCCUUCUGGCGAAUUGUCUCUGGCGUGUGGCUCCG
rnacentral:lncRNA from 1 species